CUGAGGAGACAUCACGGGAGGCAGCAGUGGGGAAUCUUGGACAAUGGGCGAAAGCCUGAUCCAGCCAUGCCGCGUGAGUGAAGAAGGCCUUAGGGUUGUAAAGCUCUUUUGCCCGGGAAGAUAAUGACGGUACCGGGAGAAUAAGCCCCGGCAAACUUCGUGCCAGCAGCCGCGGUAAUACGAAGGGGGCUAGCGUUGUUCGGAUUUACUGGGCGUAAAGCGCACGUAGGCGGAUUGUUAAGUCGGGGGUGAAAUCCUGGAGCUCAACUCCAGAAUUGCCUUCGAUACUGGCUUUCUAGAGGCUGGAAGAGGUUAGUGGAAUUCCCAGUGUAGAGGUGAAAUUCGUAGAUAUUGGGAAGAACACCAGUGGCGAAGGCGGCUAACUGGUCCAGAUCUGACGCUGAGGUGCGAAAGCGUGGGGAGCACACAGGAUUAGAUACCCUGGUAGUCCACGCCGUAAACUAUGGGUGCUAGCCGUUGGUGAGCUUGCUCAUCGGUGGCGCAGCUAACGCUUUAAGCACCCCGCCUGGGGAGUACGGUCGCAAGAUUAAAACUCAAAGGAAUUG
rnacentral:rRNA from 1 species